rnacentral:rRNA from 1 species
AUGAACGCUAGCUACAGGCUUAACACAUGCAAGUCGAGGGGCAGCAUGGUCUUAGCUUGCUAAGGCCGAUGGCGACCGGCGCACGGGUGAGUAACACGUAUCCAACCUGCCGUCUACUCUUGGACAGCCUUCUGAAAGGAAGAUUGAUACAAGAUGGCAUCAUGAGUCCGCAUGUUCACAUGAUUAAAGGUAUUCCGGUAGACGAUGGGGAUGCGUUCCAUUAGAUAGUAGGCGGGGUAACGGCCCACCUAGUCUUCGAUGGAUAGGGGUUCUGAGAGGAAGGUCCCCCACAUUGGAACUGAGACACGGUCCAAACUCCUACGGGAGGCAGCAGUGAGGAAUAUUGGUCAAUGGGCGAGAGCCUGAACCAGCCAAGUAGCGUGAAGGAUGACUGCCCUAUGGGUUGUAAACUUCUUUUAUAAAGGAAUAAAGUCGGGUAUGGAUACCCGUUUGCAUGUACUUUAUGAAUAAGGAUCGGCUAACUCCGUGCCAGCAGCCGCGGUAAUACGGAGGAUCCGAGCGUUAUCCGGAUUUAUUGGGUUUAAAGGGAGCGUAGAUGGAUGUUUAAGUCAGUUGUGAAAGUUUGCGGCUCAACCGUAAAAUUGCAGUUGAUACUGGAUAUCUUGAGUGCAGUUGAGGCAGGCGGAAUUCGUGGUGUAGCGGUGAAAUGCUUAGAUAUCACGAAGAACUCCGAUUGCGAAGGCAGCCUGCUAAGCUGCAACUGACAUUGAGGCUCGAAAGUGUGGGUAUCAAACAGGAUUAGAUACCCUGGUAGUCCACACGGUAAACGAUGAAUACUCGCUGUUUGCGAUAUACUGCAAGCGGCCAAGCGAAAGCGUUAAGUAUUCCACCUGGGGAGUACGCCGGCAACGGUGAAACUCAAAGGAAUUGACGGGGGCCCGCACAAGCGGAGGAACAUGUGGUUUAAUUCGAUGAUACGCGAGGAACCUUACCCGGGCUUAAAUUGCAGAUGAAUUACGGUGAAAGCCGUAAGCCGCAAGGCAUCUGUGAAGGUGCUGCAUGGUUGUCGUCAGCUCGUGCCGUGAGGUGUCGGCUUAAGUGCCAUAACGAGCGCAACCCUUGUUGUCAGUUACUAACAGGUUCCGCUGAGGACUCUGACAAGACUGCCAUCGUAAGAUGUGAGGAAGGUGGGGAUGACGUCAAAUCAGCACGGCCCUUACGUCCGGGGCUACACACGUGUUACAAUGGGGGGUACAGAGGGCCGCUACCACGCGAGUGGAUGCCAAUCCCCAAAACCUCUCUCAGUUCGGACUGGAGUCUGCAACCCGACUCCACGAAGCUGGAUUCGCUAGUAAUCGCGCAUCAGCCACGGCGCGGUGAAUACGUUCCCGGGCCUUGUACACACCGCCCGUCAAGCCAUGGGAGCCGGGGGUACCUGAAGUGCGUAACCGCGAGGAGCGCCCUAGGGUAAAACUGGUGACUGGGGCU